rnacentral:tRNA from 4 species
GCCGCGGUAGCUCAGUGGUAGAGCUUUCGCCUGAAGAGCGAAGAGUCGUCAGUUCGAUUCUGACCCGCGGCACCA